rnacentral:misc_RNA from 1 species
GUAUUGUGUUAAUAUGUUACAUUCACCCAAACAUUAAAAGAGUUGGUAAAGGGGUUCGGGCGGCACAACGGCCACCCUCACGGUGCACAAAGGGUUGAAAAGUCAGCUCGGGACGAGCACACGUCGCGUGAACGGCGCAGCAUCAGCCCCUCGCAAAGAUACGGUAAUGAUCCUUCCGCAGGUUCACCUACGGAAA